AGCCAUAAUAUCUUGCCCUUCUGAAAUUUACCUACCUGAGGACUGCAACUGGACCCCCAGUUCAGUUUCUGUUGAACACCUAGUUCAAUCUGUCAAGUACCCAAUUUGACCUCUGGAUCCCAAUCCAGAAAUCAGACCUUGUCUGGAAACUAGUACACUAUACUGGACCUAGUAUAGUUCCUGUUGGAAACAGAUGAACUUGUCAAAUACCCAGAUUAACCGCUGAAUCAAAUGAGAAAUAAAAUUACUCAAAUAAACUCAGAGAGCUCAGGACACAAGUUGCAAGCCUGAUAUCUGAGAGGGACUUACCUAGUGACUCACAAAUGCAGGAAGAAACCAGUGAACACAAUGGGCUUAAUGGGUACCUAUGCCUGGUCACCCAUUGCUCUUAGGGAUCUUUGGGGGAGAUUCUACUUUAUAUCCUACUUCUGACACCAAACUGUUAAAGAAAAAUCUAAGGCACAAUACAAUUUUAAAGAGUUCAUUUGAGUAAGAAGCAAUUCAUGAAUUGGGUGACACCAAACCAAAAGAGGUCUAAUGUUUUAAUGACAGAAAGUCAGAGACAGGUAUUAAUUGGGAAAAUGUGGAAAAAAAUAAAGAAAUUUGAUAGGUUUGCAGUUACAUAAUUGUCUUUUGGGUGAGGUACCUUACUGAAGUGUUCUUAGUCACAUAAUUAUGUUAGUUGGCUGCUUACGAUUGGCUAGGGUUAAAUCUUAUUUCUGUCUAACAUAAACAUUUACCAGAAAUGAUCCAAGUUAAGUAUUACCUAUUUUUAGUUACAAUCCAACUUGAGUUUCACUUAUGUUUGCAGUUUAAGCAAUGAUAAGGCUAUUUCUAAGGCCUGGGUGGCUUUGUUUGCUCAGGAGUUUUCAGGCCCAGUCUCCAUUUUAAUUUUGCAUUAACAAAGGCAAAAA
rnacentral:lncRNA from 1 species